UGAGCAAUCUGCCCUUCUCUUCGGAAUAAGCGUUGGAAACGACGUCUAAUGCCGAAUACGAUCUCCUUUCGCAUGAUCGGAGGUGGAAAGCUCCGGCGGAGAAGGAUGAGCUCGCGGCCUAUCAGCUAGUUGGUGUGGGUAAUGGCCCACCAAGGCGACGACGGGUAGCCGGCCUGAGAGGGUGACCGGCCACACGUGGGACUGAGACACGGCCCAGACCUCCGUACGGGAGCA
rnacentral:rRNA from 1 species